rnacentral:rRNA from 1 species
UACGAAGGGUGCAAGCGUUACUCGGAAUUACUGGGCGUAAAGCGUGCGCAGGCGGUUUUGUAAGUCUGACGUGAAAUCCCCGGGCUCAACCUGGGAAUUGCGUUGGAGACUGCAAGGCUGGAGUCUGGCAGAGGGGGGUAGAAUUCCACGUGUAGCAGUGAAAUGCGUAGAGAUGUGGAGGAACACCGAUGGCGAAGGCAGCCCCCUGGGUCAAGACUGACGCUCAUGCACGAAAGCGUGGGGAGCAAACAGG